AGGUUGCCAGCCCCUCAUGCUCUUCUGUCCUCACCCAGGUGGGGUCCCGGUCAGUGGGCCCUCAGCCUCCGAUCCCUGGACACCGGCCCCGGCCUUUUCAGAUCCCUGGGGAGGGUCACCUGCCAAGCCCAGCACCAAUGGCACAACAGCCGGGGGAUUCGACACGGAGCCCGACGAGUUCUCUGACUUUGACCGACUCCGCACGGCACUGCCGACCUCCGGGAGCAGCGCAGGUGAGCCCCUGCCCUCCUUCCCAGUGGCCAGAGAGAGCCUCCCCUAGCUCUUCGGGAGCCCCGUCCCUUGCUGUCUUUGUCCCACUCCAGGCAGGGCCGGCUGGACUUAGGGAUGAAAAGUUCAGUUGGGUAGAGUGGGCCAGAACCAUCCACCUGUCUUUGAAAGAAGUGUGCAUCUUUAUUUUAGAGAAAUUGCAGACUUAGAGAAAAACUGAGACUUGUUCUCAAGGUUUCCCACCCGAAUGUUGACCUCUGACCCGUCUCUGCCUCCACGUCGCUUGAGUGCCUUGCAAACUCUCCAGGUGUCUCAAAGAACACGGACUGUCUUGUCCUGUGCAGUGAGCUGCG
rnacentral:sRNA from 1 species